UACGGAGGGUGCGAGCGUUGUCCGGAAUCAUUGGGCGUAAAGGGCGCGUAGGUGGCCCGGUCAGUUCGUGGUGAAAGCGCGGGGCUCAACCCUGCGUCGGCCAUGAAUACUGCCGCGGCUGGAGCACUGUAGAGGCAGGCGGAAUUCCGGGUGUAGCGGUGGAAUGCGUAGAGGAUCCGGAAGAACGACCGGUGGCGCAAGGCGGGU
rnacentral:rRNA from 1 species